UUGAACGCUGGCGGCAGGCCUAACACAUGCAAGUCGAACGGUAACAGGAAGAAGCUUGCUUCUUUGCUGACGAGUGGCGGACGGGUGAGUAAUGUCUGGGAAACUGCCUGAUGGAGGGGGAUAACUACUGGAAACGGUAGCUAAUACCGCAUAACGUCGCAAGACCAAAGAGGGGGACCUUCGGGCCUCUUGCCAUCGGAUGUGCCCAGAUGGGAUUAGCUAGUAGGUGGGGUAACGGCUCACCUAGGCGACGAUCCCUAGCUGGUCUGAGAGGAUGACCAGCCACACUGGAACUGAGACACGGUCCAGACUCCUACGGGAGGCAGCAGUGGGGAAUAUUGCACAAUGGGCGCAAGCCUGAUGCAGCCAUGCCGCGUGUAUGAAGAAGGCCUUCGGGUUGUAAAGUACUUUCAGCGGGGAGGAAGGGAGUAAAGUUAAUACCUUUGCUCAUUGACGUUACCCGCAGAAGAAGCACCGGCUAACUCCGUGCCAGCAGCCGCGGUAAUACGGAGGGUGCAAGCGUUAAUCGGAAUUACUGGGCGUAAAGCGCACGCAGGCGGUUUGUUAAGUCAGAUGUGAAAUCCCCGGGCUCAACCUGGGAACUGCAUCUGAUACUGGCAAGCUUGAGUCUCGUAGAGGGGGGUAGAAUUCCAGGUGUAGCGGUGAAAUGCGUAGAGAUCUGGAGGAAUACCGGUGGCGAAGGCGGCCCCCUGGACGAAGACUGACGCUCAGGUGCGAAAGCGUGGGGAGCAAACAGGAUUAGAUACCCUGGUAGUCCACGCCGUAAACGAUGUCGACUUGGAGGUUGUGCCCUUGAGGCGUGGCUUCCGGAGCUAACGCGUUAAGUCGACCGCCUGGGGAGUACGGCCGCAAGGUUAAAACUCAAGUGAAUUGACGGGGGCCCGCACAAGCGGUGGAGCAUGUGGUUUAAUUCGAUGCAACGCGAAGAACCUUACCUGGUCUUGACAUCCACGGAAGUUUUCAGAGAUGAGAAUGUGCCUUCGGGAACCGUGAGACAGGUGCUGCAUGGCUGUCGUCAGCUCGUGUUGUGAAAUGUUGGGUUAAGUCCCGCAACGAGCGCAACCCUUAUCCUUUGUUGCCAGCGGUCCGGCCGGGAACUCAAAGGAGACUGCCAGUGAUAAACUGGAGGAAGGUGAGGAUGACGUCAAGUCAUCAUGGCCCUUACGACCAGGGCUACACACGUGCUACAAUGGCGCAUACAAAGAGAAGCGACCUCGCGAGAGCAAGCGGACCUCAUAAAGUGCGUCGUAGUCCGGAUUGGAGUCUGCAACUCGACUCCAUGAAGUCGGAAUCGCUAGUAAUCGUGGAUCAGAAUGCCACGGUGAAUACGUUCCCGGGCCUUGUACACACCGCCCGUCACACCAUGGGAGUGGGUUGCAAAAGAAGUAGGUAGCUUAACCUUCGGGAGGGCGCUUACCACUUUGUGAUUCAUGACUGGGGUG
rnacentral:rRNA from 1 species